rnacentral:rRNA from 1 species
GACGAACGCUGGCGGCGUGCCUAAUACAUGCCAGUAGAACGCACAGUUUAUACCGUAGCUUGCUACACCAUAGACUGUGAGUUGCGAACGGGUGAGUAACGCGUAGGUAACCUGCCUGGUAGCGGGGGAUAACUAUUGGAAACGAUAGCUAAUACCGCAUAAUAUUGAUUAUUGCAUGAUAAUUGAUUGAAAGAUGCUAUUGCAUCACUACCAGAUGGACCUGCGUUGUAUUAGCUAGUAGGUGAGGUAACGGCUCACCUAGGCGACGAUACAUAGCCGACCUGAGAGGGUGAUCGGCCACACUGGGACUGGGACACGGCCCAGACUCCUACGGGAGGCAGCAGUAGGGAAUCUUCGGCAAUGGACGAAAGUCUGACCGAGCAACGCCGCGUGAGUGAAGAAGGUUUUCGGAUCGUAAAGCUCUGUUGUAAGAGAAGAACGGGUGUGGGAGUGGAAAGUUCACACUGUGACGGUAUCUUACCAGAAAGGGACGGCUAACUACGUG